rnacentral:lncRNA from 1 species
UGUGAAGGUGAUACUUGUUGGCAUGUAAAGGAAAGUCUUGCAGAUCACCUACAGGGACUCUACAUCAAAAGGUUUGACCACACUUCAAGUAACAAGUGAUGAGGGCUUGAACUUGGGCAUUACAACCAAAGAAAAGAAUGAAGAGAACAAUAGAUUCAUUAACAUUUCAGAGUUAGUAUACCUAAGGUUCUCCUUGACCAAAAAUGGAGUAAGUAGUAGUAUUAUCUAAUUGUUAUUCCCUUUUCAUAGAUUACAACAUUAAGGUCACACACUAGGAAGGGGUGGAUGUCUGAGACUCAGACCAGUCCUGUUCAAUUCUAAUAGUAAUUCUUCUGAGAAAUUAGUAAAGGUUCUCUAUAUACCUAAAGACACCUAACUCAAUUCUUUCUCCAUUUGAACAGAGAAUAAUAUAAAGUAUUUCCUCUCAUACUAUAAGAAAUCACAUCAGUUCAGACACUCAGUGUUUUUGAAAUGGCAGGAUGGCAAAACUCCAGGACACUCCUUAUAAUAUAUAUUAUUGCUUCUUGCCCAUAGCAAGAACAAUUCUCCAUGUGGUCACAAACAAGAUAGCAAUGUUUGUUUCGAAUGAAGAAGUAAACAUAAAAACUAAUAGAAAUCAUUAUUCUUGUUGCCUACCUUACAAAAUUAUAACUUAAGGCAUUUACUGCUCCACAAGUUCUUCCAGUGGUUGAUUUAAGACCAGGUAUUUUGUCAUCUUUAUAGCAAUGCAUAAAUUAUAAAACGAGGACGCACAUGUUCAAAUAAUCUGCCCACAGAAGCAGAACUAAUAAGUGGUAGAAAUAAAAUAUGGCACUAUUAUUUAAUCAUUGUUUUAGAUGACAAUGCCAUGAUCCUUUUAAUUCAAUACAGACGUAGGAAGAAAUGCUUUUCCUUUCUUUCGUAAGUUGUCUACAGAAAGACAAGAGCCAUGUGUGCUCACUUACAAAUGGACGUGAAAUAAUGUCCAUUAUUACUGACAUAGAGUGUAGGGUGAUAACUAUUGGAGAUUUAGAAGGGCGGGAAAUGAAAGUGGGGUGGUUGAUGAGAAAUUACCUAAUGGGUGGUCUGGAUUGGGACCAUUUUCCAGUAACAUAAUUUUUGUCAAAAUUCAAUUAAAAUAUAAUCAUUGCCUAAAUAUUUAUCCUCUGCCUGCCUAUUGAUUUUGAAAAUAAUGCACUUUUAUUCGCUUUAAAGAUUUCAAUAGAAAACAUAAAUUGUUUUAAAUAUUUGUCUUGUCCUUCUGCUGUGUAGCUUUUUAGUUUAAUUAGGUCCCAUUUGUCAAUUUUUAUUUUUGAUGCAAUUGCUUUUGGUAUUUUUGUCAUAAAAUCUUUGCCGGGGCCUGAGGCGUGGUGGCAUGUGCCUGUAGUCCCAGCUACUCGGGAGGCUGAGGCAGGAGAAUCGCUUGAACCCUGGAAGUGAUGCGUGGGGGACUCUGAGAAUAUCCAGAAAAGAUAUAUAGUAGCUGAAGGGGACUGAAAAGGUCUUUUAUCCCUUGGAGGUCACUACCUUUAGAGUUUUGUUGUGUAUUUCCCUGUCUCUUUGCAAGAUAUUAACUAAAACUCAUAAUUUAGUGAUUGUGGAAAAACAAAACAAUGGUUAUUUUUAUUAAUUUAUUCUUUAAUGUAUAACCUUUAGAUCACACGAGUUAGCUGGUUCAUGGGCCAGCCUAGACGAGCUCUGGAGUCUAACAAGAUGGAAUGCAUAAUUCCCACUAUGCUGUCAGUCUGCUAUAUCCUAAUGGAAUGAACUGCUAUUUCAGCUCCUAUUUAUAAGUGAGAACAUGUGGGAUUUGGUUUUCUGUUCC